rnacentral:lncRNA from 1 species
UGUGUGUUAAAUCUAUCGAUAACCGCGCCCGCGGAUAUGGGCCCAGUUCGUGUCGGUCAUACUAUGGGUCAACGGUAAUAAUAAUGAUGUGCUUAAUAACAACCUUGGUUCGAUGAUGAAAGAAGUUGGUUGAUAUUUAUGUGAUCGUGAGAGGAUCACUGUAGUAUCGUGAAUACCAACUUGUUGUAUAUUUGGAAUGUUAUUCGAGAGUCAAGGGGAAAGGUCAAGCUCCUUGUGAUCAUAAAUGAUUGCUACGGUAUUGUUAAUACCAAGCUUGAUUGGAUCCUGAGAUGAUCGUGUGAUAUCCGUGAUGGUAAGUGAUACAGGUGAUGGUUACAAGGUAACCAGAGCAGAGUAAGUUGGUGCAUGAUAGUUUCAUCAUGUUGCAUGCUAGGCUCAUCUUGUUCAUAUGUUCAUGCCAUGCUCGUAUUGUUCUAGCUAUAUCAUCUUGUUCAUGUUAUGAUUGAUCUGAUAGUAUCAUGGUAAUCCUUGUUAACCUGUAAUUGCCAUGUUGUUGUUUGUUUUGAUUGUUUUGGUUGUUGUGAGCUUGCAAGUACAUUCAAUGUACUGACCUGGUGUGUCAUGCCAGUUUGCAGGUCAUGUCGGAUUUGAUUGCUUGUUUGUCAUGGAUUUCCCUGUUUGCGAGCCUAGGAUAAGCGUUCCAGCCAGAGUCCCUGUGGAGUGGAGUUCACCACCGUCUUUGCUGUUCCGCUGCCAGUAGUCAUUCCGCUGCGUCGUGUUGUUCUGCUGCUUGCAUAGAGCAACCGUGGCAGGCGUAGCGUCGCCGUGCCGAUGUAAUCCCCUUGUACCCCAAUAGAUUGCAAUAAAUAGCUGAUUUGUUCUAUGCUAAGCAGUGCCGUAUUCCAGAAGACUUCUCCUCGAUCUGUGGGCUGGAAUACGGGGCGUUCCGGUUUCUCUGAGCCGGGGUGCCACAGGCUUGGUAUCAGAGCAGGUGUGGCUAUAGGACUCCCUAGCCCGCGCGAACGUUAGAAUGCGGUAGUAUAGAGCCCCGUUGGUUUAUUGCACUUGAUUGCUGCAUUUGUUUGUUGCAUAGCAUGCAUAUAGAUCAUUUUCUUGUCGCUAACGGUUAAUCUUGUGAGUGUAGGUGGCAUCGUUUUCGAUCCACUACCUGCACCCUCCUUAUUUGCAUGCCUGCUCUUUGGUGUUUGGCGUCGUCUCUAUCCUAGCAGAGUGAUGCCCUGGUGCCAAGUGUUCCAGACACCAUUUGCAGGAGUUCUGCUCAGGUAUCGCGUCGAUAUCUUUUCGCCACCCACCCAUAUUAUUUCGGUGAUAGAUUUGCCUCUAUCCCGAAUCGUGCCUUCCAUCCCGUCCCUUUGGCAACCCUUACUGAUCUUUGUUAUCAGAAAAGGGCAAUGCCAGCAAAGCCCCGCUUUCCACCGCUAUAAUGCAUUGUCAUCCCAUUCCAUGGACGUGUAUGGUUCCCUUUCAUACGCUUGAUGAUGAUGUAGUCGUGACUUCCGUGUCUCGCUGCAUGAUCACCAAGUCCGUCCUCGCUUUUGUAUCCAUCCAGAUCUAGCCGGUGUUCAGCCAGCGCUUGGUAUAGCCUUGGUUACACCAACCCUUUCCACACAUGGAUCUCAGUUUCGUGCACACCGUCACAGCAUAUUAGACCGUAAUACCGGAGUUUCCGUGAGAUUUGUGUGCUUAGGUGUGCAUGCAUAUUAUUGUGUGAGUAGCAGUAAUAUGUGUUGAUUGCUUUAUUUUGGUUGCAUGCUUGUGUGCCUUUGUUUCGUCGUUCCUUUUGUUUCUUUAUUUGGGCCUUCGGUGUUACAAAUUUUUCCCCUUAUUAAAGUUGCUCGUCAACCGACACCGGACCCGAAGAAUCAGCAAGGAGUUCAAAUGUUUGGAAGCUCAGCUAAACAAGAAUGGAAUUAUCAGCAGACAACAGUGAAAUUGGGAAAAUCUUGGCUGAAGGCAAAGAAAUCCUGGAUGGACUGUCAGUAUCAAGUUUGCAUCAGUAUGGAAUUCUCAGCCGACUGCAUUGACAUCUGGGGAUAUCUGAUCGUGAUACAGAUAAUCAAGUUUUCCUCAGUGUGCACUCUUCAUGGCAGUAAUGAUCAGAUCAGCAAGAAGAUAAGCUAUGUGCAAGACCAACAGUGCAAUUUCAGUCAAAGUUAUGGUUCAGAUACAAGGUUUGAUUCUUCGUGGAGGAUGAUUUUGAAACAUGAUAUGCCUGGAAGAAAGCAAGGAUGUGCCACAUACUCAGAAAGGAGGAUGGUCCAGCAAUUCCUGUUUCAGCACGAAGCCCAGUCUUCCUCAGCAAGAUACUCUCGAUGGUUUUCAGCAUAAGCCAUCCAAUCGUCCUCAGUACGGCGCUGGUGCAAGAUAGUACAAUGUGAAUUGACAGCAGAUGGCAGAAUCAUAUCCGCAACAGUUGGCCAGAAGCAAGAAUCAUUCAGAACACAAGUCUGCCUCGGGAAUCAGAUUCUCAGAUAUAUGUGAAGGAAGCCAGAUAUACACCUCAGUGUGACAAAGGACUAUGAGGAUUGACGACAACACUGAGCUCUGUACAAGUACCAGUGAACCUGGAAGAUGAUCUUGAUGAGCCCUUGUCUCCUUUUCUUCAGUGUCGGCACCACGCCUGUGAUCUGAGCUGUUUUUAGCUAUCCGGGGUGGAUGCCAAUUUUUAUUUCUCUCUUCAAUAAUUGUCAUGAGUUCUGAGCUGCUUUUCGGCCGUCUCAUACAGCUGUUGAGUUUGUUUUUGUGACAGUAGCCCUAUAGAUGCUUUUGGCUAUUUUAGGGAGCUGCCACUUUCUUCUUAUCAACCCGGUCUCAUGUUCUGAGCUGCUUUUCAGCCGUCCUGAGCCGUGGUUGAGUUAUUUCAGUAAUGUCCCAGAUCUGAGUUGUAAAGACCGUUCUGGUGGCUACUGAUUUAUUUGCCGAUUUCUUGCAAGGGUUCGGAUGAUCAUUUCCUACGGUUAGAACUUGAGAAGUGUUGAACCCGCCAUUUAAUGGAUUACCAUGUCAGAAGAUGCGGAUAAGAGUACAGUUGUCAGAAUAUUGCACCCGACAGAACCUAUGGUCACACGAAGAAGCAAUAUGACCCCGCUCCUUCACCCAAGGAUCCAGGCAAGGAAAACAGUAAUGAAGGAGCCAGAUUGAUAAUUGUUGCAUAAUUCAAAUGGUGCAGAUACCCCGGACAGUCUGAGUCAGUAUGGAUCACCAUGGAUAUUCACCAAAAGGGUCUGCUCGGUUUUGGAUGGUGAAUAACAAUCUGGGAGCAUGUACCCUCACUUAUGUGAAGCCUCAACGGAUAGCCUGUCAUGGACAAAAUUCUUUCACGAGAUUCACAGUCAGUCAAGUCUGCGGAUACUAUGAUAUAAGGCCAUACCCCUUAUGCUGGCAACGACAGACGACAAUCAAAUAUUUGGUAUGAUGCUGAGAUUCAAGACAGUGGAGCCAGUCAGGAUUGGUCAGAAAUUCCUGCGAUAAGUCAGAAUCUGUCAGAAAAACGGAUAUGCCGCAACUCACUGUUUGGAACCUGAAGGACCUGCAUUUGAUGGAGAAACCCAAUGCAAGGAGUCGGAGCUUGGGUGUUCAUCAGGACAAAUCGGAUCACCAAUUCAUGGACAGUUGUCAGUACAGACACAACCAUUGGAAUUCACUCUCGGAUUUGUGAGACAGGCAGAUAUUUCAGUCAUGGUAAUCUCAGCUAAGUCAGCAGAUAUGAACAGAAUUGCAGCCAGUAUAAGCAGAACAUGUGAGUUAAGAUCUGUCAGGAUAUGGAUACAGUGAAGCAAGCAACCCCAGAGCCAGUCAGGUCAGUCAGAUGAAGAAUUUAAUGGGAACAAUCAACAAAGGAAAAAGGAUACCCGAGUUGGAAACGGUUUCCUUAAGGCAGUAUAUUCAUACUUGUUCCCGGAGCAACCAAAUCUCCAGGAUGAGAUUUCUUUAAGGGGGGAAGGUUUGUCACAGCCUGAUUUUUGGCCCUUUCUUUUUCAUUUGAUUUUCUGAGGUUUUUGCUUGAGUUUUCUUUUUCCGUGGCUUUGUGGUCUGGAAACUGAAGAAGAUGACCUCUUCUUUAUUUCCAGAGUGGCUUGUCAUCCUCAAAUCCUUCCCUAGAUCAUAUCAUUUCCAUCCUAGCUCAAUCCCAAUAUUCUUUUUAUUGGGAAUAUUCCUCUUCUAUUAAAGGAAUCAUCCUUUUUGCCCUAGGUUGUGAAGCAACCUAUAUUUCCAUCACUCCUAAAAUUCCCAAAUAAUUCUCAUAAAUUUUUUGGGUCAUAUAUUCCUCAAAUAUGGCAAAACAUUUCAUUUGCCAUGUUUAUCAUCAUGCUCAAAUAAUUCAUUUCCUAUUCUGCCCUAAAUGGCACAUUGUGAAGCAAGUGCUAUUUUCCUUUUCCCAAUUGACCUCAAACUCCUUGGACACCUUUUACUGUCCAUAUAAUUGCCACAUGACAAAAUGCAACCUCAUUUGCCUAGUAGUCAUUUAAUUAUGAUUUUCCAAAGUUUCUGUCCAGAAAGAAACUUUGUGAAGGAGGUAUAAGCUAGGCAUAUCCAAAUGAGUUGCAAUAUUUCAUAUUCCUUCAUAUCAUAAAAUCAUAGCCCUCCACCAAAGUUUAGCUCAUUUAAUGCCUCCAUGUGAGCACAGCUUCAAAUCUUUGAUUCUGUCCAAAAUUUCAGUUUAUGAAGCAAGUAUAUUUUAUAUUGCUUCAUUAUGGCUGUAAAUUGUUCUAGGCCUUCUCCUAUCCAUAUAAACUCCCUCCACCAAGUUGUGGCUCAAUCCAUUUAGCCAUUUUCCCUCUAGAAGUUUUGAAAGUUUCUGGUCAGUGGGGAUGUUUGUGAAGGAAGUACCAUUUUGGUUUAUCCAAAUGGUGUGAAACCUUUUUCAGCAUCUUCAUAUGACCAAAUAACUCUGCCCUGACCAAGUUCAGGUCAAGUGGCUUCACCAUUUGAGUGCAUCAUCAUGAUUUCUAUUCUGGACCAAUUUAGGCAGUUGUGAAGCAACUAUAUCAAAUAUUGGUCCAAAUCCCUCCAUAGUUUCCAGGACAGUAGUCCUUCCACAGACAAACACCCCAGACAACUCCGUUUGACUCAAUCAACUUCCUGUUGAUCAGCAGUGCUCGUCAAAAUCUGAUACAGUAAACUUCAGACGAUCCCUCAUUCAUCUCCUUGGCUCCUUCUUGUUAUAUUUAACUUCUUCGAUGCCUUGGGGAUCAAGAACUAGCCACCCGACAUGUUUUGCCAGCCCAUCGUGACCUCCAUAUGCCAUGUCGUGUGGCGACCGCGUGGAUGUUUUCCCGUGCACGCGCUCUGGCUGCAGUAAUCGCGCUCUGGCGCCUCUGUCUCCUCCUCCCCGUCUGUGCCCUCGUCCCCUCAUCGUCUGUCCAUGUCUAGCGUGUUUCCCGCGUCGUCUCCGUCCUCCUGGAGCCGUCUCCCCCUCCCGAAGCCUCCUCGCUGGCGCUCGUCGCCGUGCGCCCACGGGCGAACUGUAGCCGACCGGCUCUGUUCGCGCCGCGGCGGCUUCCCUCCCUUGUCCCCGAGCUCCGCUCGUCUCUGCGACCACUACGGUCGUCUGUUCCUCCUUCGUCGCCAACCUACGAGCCCAUGCGCGUGCACACGCGUCCGCCGCGCCGGACACGCGUCCGCGGCGACACCCGGCUCGAACCGCCUCGCCCCCUCCUAUUUAAGGCCACCCCGAGGCCGUUUCUCUUCACCACUUGCCUCCUGCACCUCCUAUAGCCCCGCCCCAUGUCUUGCCCGAGCUCAAGAAGCUCUCGGUGCUCGACAUCGUCGGCAUGGCCGCCGCACGGCCUCGGCUAAAUUAGCCCGAAGUCGAUCCCCUCCCUCCGUCCCGUCGACACCUUAGCACUCCCCGGACCGCCACGAGCCUCCCUACCACUUCCACUCGUCGCCGGAGUGCCUGCAGCCGCCGCCCCCCUAGUCUGACCGCCGCCCCCUGCUUCUCUGCUGCCCCGAGUCGCCGUCGCCCUCGGCCCUUCCCCGGCGCUACUGCGGUGCUGGAUGGGUGCGGUGCUCCUUGCGGAGGCCUCCGGUGCCAGCGCCUCUAUCGGAGGUGGCCGGAGCCGGCCAGGCCCUCGCUGGCAGCGCUCUGUCUCGCCCCUGCCCUCAGUUCUUCGCGAGGAGGAAGAAGGGAGCGGGAGGAGAGAGAGAGAGGUGGGCGGACCCCACCAGUCAGCCACACCGGAGCCGGCCCCGCGUUGACCCUGCCUGCCCACGAGGAUAAUGACGGGCCCCAGCCCCGUGGGACCCGCAUGUCAGCGUCACAAGCCCCGGUCCCGCCUCGGCUGACUGGAUUAAGUGGAGAUGUACUAAGAUUAGUACGUUUUCAUCUACGGGAAAGCGUAUUUUCGCUCUGCUUCAGCUCAGAGUACACUUUCUUUUACUGAGAGCGUAUUUCCGCUCUGUUUCAAUCCAGAAUACAUUUUCCUAGUCAGAAAGCGUGUUUCUAAUUUUGCGCCUCUGCCUUAUCCACUCAGGGACUUGUUUGUGAUGAUAUUUUUGCAGAAAAGUCCCUGAACUUCAACCGUUCACAACUUUUCAACCGUAGCUCCGAUUUAGGUGAAUCCAACGCCCACGUCUUCGUCUCGUCGAGCCCGUUCUGUUCCCACCAUUUUCACUAUGUUUCAACAUUCUGAAAAUGACCAUUUUGCCCUUGCCACAAUCAGCCCCGUCCGAGAGAGAACCUUUCUAGUGAUUCCUUCCGCGAUCUUUCCACACUUCUCCCCGGAGCCUUCUUCAUCCCCAGGCAAGCCACAACCACCAUUUGCAUGAUAGCCAUGCAGAAGCAUUGGUUUUCAACUUGAAUCUUAAAUAACUGUUUGUUUGCUUUGCUGCUAUUGUCUUUAUUUCGGUUAUGCUUAUGGUCGGUGUUUACCGUCAUGCUUUGUUUUUCUUGCACUCUGUUAUUAUGUUCUUCAUGCUAGUACUACUUUAAUAUUGGCAAUGCUUGGUAAUAAUACAUGUUGGUGAUGGUCUUCGGUGCAUGACUAUCGUCUGUUCCGAGUACCGUUGUUAUGCAUGUUAUUUUGCACCGAGUUGGUUAAAUAUUUGCAUGGUAGUUUUAUCGUUUGCAUGAUAUUUAUUAUUGAUGCUAGUGUUCAUGUCAUGCUAUGAGUAGUGUUCUAGUUGUGAUAUUCAUGCUCGUUAGUAUGCCAUGCUCAUCUGGUUAAAUGAUUAAAUGUUGUUGUUAUGCUCGUUGAUUAUGUUGCACCCCCAUGCUCAUGUUGGUAUCAUGUUCAUGCACUGUAGUUGCAUCAUGUUAUUUUUAUCAUGGCUCAGCAUAUUGCAUUCAAGUUUAACCGGAUUAAAUUGAACUUGAACAACUGUUGGCUGAGUCAUGGUGCCACCAGAUCGAGCUGACCAGCGCAACCACAUUUGCCUUGUGUAUGGGAAAGGCCCUAACGGGUCUAUUGUCAUGCCUCUCGCCGGUGCCUCCAACGUAGGGAAGGUUAUGCGCGGGCGCUACCUUGGACAGGUAGGACGGCAUAAGCCUUGUGAGCCCGAGUUGUUUGCGCGCUUUGUCCCUGUUUGGGACCGUUUUUGCCACGACGGUGGCCGUAAGACCUUUGGUAGGCAUGGGCCACCCAGGACUGAACCCAAAAAGGGGUGUUGGUCGGAGUGGCCGGGAGAGUGCCAUGGAAAUAGAUCGGAUUUGUCGGAACGCCAUUGGUCCACCCGAAUGGGAGUGCGAGGCCAUGGGUUUUGUGGUGUGGGUACAGUGCGCUACCUCUGCAGAGUGUGUGUGUGUGUUAAAUCUAUCGAUAACCGCGCCCGCGGAUAUGGGCCCAGUUCGUGUCGGUCAUACUAUGGGUCAACGGUAAUAAUAAUGAUGUGCUUAAUAACAACCUUGGUUCGAUGAUGAAAGAAGUUGGUUGAUAUUUAUGUCAUCGUGAGAGGAUCACUGUAGUAUCGUGAAUACCAACUUGUUGUAUAUUUGGAAUGUUAUUCGAGAGUCAAGGGGAAAGGUCAAGCUCCUUGUGAUCAUAAAUGAUUGCUACGGUAUUGUUAAUACCAAGCUUGAUUGGAUCCUGAGAUGAUCGUGUGAUAUCCGUGAUGGUAAGUGAUACAGGUGAUGGUUACAAGGUAACCAGAGCAGAGUAAGUUGGUGCAUGAUAGUUUCAUCAUGUUGCAUGCUAGGCUCAUCUUGUUCAUAUGUUCAUGCCAUGCUCGUAUUGUUCUAGCUAUAUCAUCGUGUUCAUGCUAUGAUUGAUCUGAUAGUAUCAUGGUAAUCCUUGUUAACGUGUAAUUGCCAUGUUGUUGUUUGUUUUGAUUGUUUUGGUUGCUGUGAGCUUGCAAGUACAUUCAAUGUACUGACCUGGUGUGUCAUGCCAGUUUGCAGGUCAUGUCGGAUUUGAUUGCUUGUUUGUCAUGGAUUUCCCUGUUUGCGAGCUAGGAUAAGCGUUCCAGCCAGAGUCCCUGUGGAGUGGAGUUCACCACCGUCUUUGUUGUUCCGCUGCCAGUAGUCAUUCCGCUGCGUCGUGUUGUUCUGCUGCUUGCAUAGAGCAACCGUGGCAGGCGUAGCGUCGCCGUGCCGAUGUAAUCCCCUUGUACCCCAAUAGAUUGCAAUAAAUAGCUGAUUUGUUCUAUGCUAAGCAGUGCCGUAUUCCAGAAGACUUCUCCUCGAUCUGUGGGCUGGAAUACGGGGCGUUCCGGUUUCUCUGAGCCGGGGUGCCACAGUACAACCCAUCUGGGCGUUCCAGGAGAGGGGGCGCGCCCUGGUGGGUUGUGCCCAACCAGGGGCCCCUCUCUGGUGGGUCUUGGCUCCAAAAAUUCUUAUUAUUGAUAUAAAAAAUCCUCGCAAAGUUUCGU